rnacentral:rRNA from 1 species
UACGUAGGGUGCAAGCGUUGUCCGGAAUUAUUGGGCGUAAAGGGCUCGUAGGCGGUCCAUCACGUCGGGGGUGAAAAGCUGGGGCUUAACCCCAGUCCUGCUUCCGAUACGGGUGGACUAGAGGUAGGCAGGGGAGAACGGAAUUCCUGGUGUAGCGGUGGAAUGCGCAGAUAUCAGGAGGAACACCGGUGGCGAAGGCGGGUCUCUGGGCCGAUACUGACGCUGAGAAGCGAAAGCGUGGGGAGCGAACAGG